CCUACGGGUGGCAGCAGUGGGGAAUAUUGGACAAUGGGCGAAAGCCUGAUCCAGCCAUGCCGCGUGUGUGAAGAAGGCCUUCGGGUUGUAAAGCACUUUCAGCGGGGAAGAAAGCCUUGGGGCUAAUACCCUCGAGGAAGGACAUCACCCACAGAAGAAGCACCGGCUAACUCCGUGCCAGCAGCCGCGGUAAUACGGAGGGUGCGAGCGUUAAUCGGAAUUACUGGGCGUAAAGCGCGCGUAGGCGGUCUGAUAAGCCGGUUGUGAAAGCCCCGGGCUCAACCUGGGAACGGCAUCCGGAACUGUCAGGCUAGAGUGCAGGAGAGGAAGGUAGAAUUCCCGGUGUAGCGGUGAAAUGCGUAGAGAUCGGGAGGAAUACCAGUGGCGAAGGCGGCCUUCUGGACUGACACUGACGCUGAGGUGCGAAAGCGUGGGUAGCAAACAGGAUUAGAUACCCCUGUAGUC
rnacentral:rRNA from 1 species